rnacentral:rRNA from 1 species
GCAAGUCGAACGGCAGCACGAGGAACUUGUUCCUUGGUGGCGAGUGGCGGACGGGUGAGUAAUGCGUAGGAAUCUACCUUAUAGUGGGGGAUAACUCGGGGAAACUAGGCUAAUACCGCAUAAUAUUUACGAAUCAAAGGGGGCCUCUGUUUCAUGCUCUCGCUAUAAGAUGAGCCUACGUCGGAUUAGCUUGUUGGUGAGGUAAAAGCCUACCAAGGCUACGAUCCGUAGCUGGUCUGAGAGGACGACC